rnacentral:rRNA from 1 species
UGGUGGAGUGAUUUGUCUGGUUAAUUCCGUUAACGAACGAGACCUCUUCUUACUAGUUAGAAGGUUCUUAUGCGUAAGUAUCAUCUUCUUAGAGGAACUACUGGUUCUUAGCCAGGGGAAGUUAGAGGCAAUAACA